CCAAAGAACAUACCAGAACCUGGUUCAAGUAGUCAACAGAAGGUUUGUAAGUAAGUGCUGAAAUAACAGCACUCUGUUCACUAUUUGUAUUACUCUGUUUGACUUUGUUUGCCCAUUCCAGAGAAAAUUUGUACAUUUUGCCAGUUCAUGUUGACAAGUGUCUUCAUAAGUGAGUUUAACCAGUUCAUUCAAAGAUGCAAAUUCAUUCUGAAACAGUAUAAGGAAGUGACUUUGAGUAAGUGAAUCAUUAACUCAUCUAAUUAGAAAUACUUUGUGUCUCUUAUAUUUCCAGCGUCAACGUAAUAGAAUUGAUGUAGACACUCUGCGAGCACUAAUUGAAAGCAAAGGUCUGAGUAUAUUGAAGGAUUAUGAAGCUUCAGGAAUGCUUUCAGAGACAUCAAGAAAAGUCCUUGUGAAGAUAGGUGUCAGUGCGUUGGUGGAACAAAGUGGAUUUUACCCUUGUAAUGAUGAGAAGCGGAUGUUGGCAGAAAGUGUAGUAACACUGUUUCCUUCUCUGAAGAUCAAGAUGGGAGAAGAGAAUGAAGGAUUUGAACAUUUCUAUGACCCAGUCUCCCACAGUGGAUUUAUUGAGAUGAGACUUAGAAAUCUACGGAGGAAACUUUGUGAUGAUCAGCGUCGUUACCAACGC